UAGAAAGUGUAGAUUUGAGUUUAGGUACUUUUGGAGUUGUCAUAUGGGUUUAAUGCAUAUAGUUUGGGUCUAAUGAUCAAAGGGGUACUUGUUUUAGUUAUAAACAUAUUUUCAUAUCAAUUCCAUUGUGAAAGCAACCCUUUUGAUCAUUAAAACAAGUCUUAAGUGAAUCAAAGUCCUUGAAAAUAGGGUGUUGUCAACUAAUAUGGCGUUGGGGGGCAGUUUUUGGCGUUGAGUGCCACCAUUCGUAGGGCGCCAAUGCUGAGUGUCAACACCCAAUUUCGUCCGGG
rnacentral:lncRNA from 1 species